GAUGAACGCUAGCUACAGGCUUAACACAUGCAAGUCGAGGGGCAUCAGGAAGAAAGCUUGCUUUCUUUGCUGGCGACCGGCGCACGGGUGAGUAACACGUAUCCAACCUGCCCUUUACUCGGGGAUAGCCUUUCGAAAGAAAGAUUAAUACCCGAUAGCAUAAUGAUUCCGCAUGGUUUCAUUAUUAAAGGAUUCCGGUAAAGGAUGGGGAUGCGUUCCAUUAGGUUGUUGGUGAGGUAACGGCUCACCAAGCCUUCGAUGGAUAGGGGUUCUGAGAGGAAGGUCCCCCCACAUUGGAACUGAGACACGGUCCAAACUCCUACGGGAGGCAGCAGUGAGGAAUAUUGGUCAAUGGGCGCUAGCCUGAACCAGCCAAGUAGCGUGAAGGAUGAAGGCUCUAUGGGUCGUAAACUUCUUUUAUAUAAGAAUAAAGUGCAGUAUGUAUACUGUUUGUAUGUAUUAUAUGAAUAAGGAUCGGCUAACUCCGUGCCAGCAGCC
rnacentral:rRNA from 1 species